rnacentral:rRNA from 1 species
GACGAACGCUGGCGGCGUGCUUAACACAUGCAAGUCGAACGGAAAGGCCCUGCUUUUGUGGGUUGCUCGAGUGGCGAACGGGUGAGUAACACGUGAGUAACCUGCCCUUGACUUUGGGAUAACUUCAGGAAACUGGGGCUAAUACCGGAUAGGAGCUCCUGCUGCAUGGUGGGGGUUGGAAAGUUUCGGCGGUUGGGGAUGUACUCGCGGCUUAUCAGCUUGUUGGUGGGGUAGUGGCUUACCAAGGCUUUGACGGGUAGCCGGCCUGAGAGGGUGACCGGCGACAUUGGGACUGAGAGACGGACCAGAAGGGUACGGGAGGCAGCAGGGGGGAAUAUUGCAGAAUGGGCGGAAGCGUGAGGCAGAAACGCCGCGUGCGGGAUGACGGCCUUCGGGUGAUGAACAGCUUUGGAAGGUGACGAAGAGGGAGUGACGGUAAUGGGUAAAGAAGCACCGGCUAACUACGUG